rnacentral:tRNA from 1 species
GUCAAUGUGGCAGAGAAUUUAUGCGAAAGUUCUAAGAUCUUUUUACGGACAUCAAGUCCCAUUGAUU